rnacentral:rRNA from 1 species
UACAGAGGUGGCAAGCGUUGUUCGGAAUUACUGGGCGUAAAGGGCGCGUAGGUGGUGGCUUAAGCGUGCGGUGAAAGCUCGGGGCUCAACUCCGAGUCGGCCGUGCGAACUGGGCUCACUGGAGCAUAGUAGAGGCAGGUGGAAUCCCGGGUGUAGCGGUGGAAUGCGUAGAGAUCCGGAAGAACACCGGUGGCGAAGGCGGCCUGCUGGGCUAUGGCUGACACUGAGGCGCGACAGCGUGGGGAGCAAACAGG